ensembl:snoRNA
UGGUCCAUUCUAAUCCCUGCUGAUCAGUCAAUGAUCUGCCAGGUUUCGCUUGUGGACCAGAGCAUCCUAGAAGCCCUGCCAGAGUUGAGCAAGGCCUUUUAGGCUUCUGCCAGCAGCACUUCUGAACAUGU